rnacentral:misc_RNA from 1 species
GUGAGUUUUUCUUGAAAGGGGUUUUUCUUUAACUGCUGUCAUCCCCAGAAAAAGAAAGAUCAUAAUUACUUGGGGCAAGUCUAAUAAUGCCUACUAUUGCUAAACAUGAUGGUCGGCAGCUGGAGACUGGGCUGCGAAUUACCUCACUAUCAACUACCCAAAUGCAACCAUGGUGGCACGGUUAUGGUGAUAAUACUAUGCCUUUGGCUAGUGAGAAUGCCGUUGCCCAGGAGAAAUCUGAAGGUGGCAACCAGGAUAAAGAAACAAAGGCUCUAGCCAUGGAAUCUGGAUCAGAUGGAAAUAACGAGCAAUACAAGCAGCACCUCAAGCAUUUUGCACCCACAACUGCUGCCAUCAUGGCUGAGCAGCAGAAGGAACUCACAGGUCAUUCAGCUAUGUUGGCGUCAUAUCCAUAUCCAGAUAUGCAGUAUGGGGGAAUGAUGACUUAUGGCGCACCUGUACAUCCCCACUUAUUUGAAAUUCAUCAUGCCCGAAUGCCUUUGCCUCUCGACAUGGAAGAGGAACCUGUCUACGUGAAUGCAAAACAGUACCAUGGAAUAUUAAGGCGAAGACAGAUAAGAGCUAAAGC